rnacentral:rRNA from 1 species
GAUUUCUGGCUUGAUACAUUUUGCCGGCCACGGUUUCGUGUGUUAGUGCAUUAUGUUCUGGCCAUCCUUCCAAUUGCUGCUUACUUUUCUUCAUUGAUUUGUAAGUGGUAUUGGAUCUUUUACUUUGAAAAAAUUAGAGUGUUUCAAGCAGGCUUUAUGCUAUGAAUACAUUAGCAUGGAAUAAUAAUUUAGGACUUCGGCCCUAUUUUGUUGGUUUCUAGGACUGAAGUAAUGAUUGAUAGGGAUAGUUGGGGGUGCUAGUAUUCAGCGGCCAGAGGUGAAAUUCUCGGAUUCGCUGAAGACUAACUUAUGCGAAAGCAUU